GGAAUUCUCUGCCUGAAGAAGUGGUUUUCUCAGAGUCCAUACAGAUGUUCAAACAGCUACUAGAUGCAUACUUGCAAAAACAGAAUAUUCAAGGAUAUAAUCUUUCAAUGUAGGGUAAUAACUGCUUGCUCCAAGGAUAAAUCUGACUGCCAUUCUGGGGUCAAGAAGGAUUUUUUUUCCUAGCUUGUUGCAAAAUUUUGCUUCAAACUGGGUUUUUUGCCUUCUUUUGGAUCAAAAAACAAAUGUGAGGAAGGCUGAACUUGAUGGACGCAAAUCUCUUUUCAGCUAUGUAACUAUGAGAAGGAAGAACCUAACCCAAUUUUUUUCCAUGUGCCGUUUUAGUUCAUCUGAAUCAUUUAGUCCAAAAAUAUUGCAUGGAUGAACUAAAACAAAUAAAAUAUUAAAUUUUGUAUAAGUAAAUACAUUAAAAAAAAAAAAACUUUCAAAUUCACUAGAGCGCUCUGAUGACUUGUAAGCCACCCAAUUUAGAGCACUUUGACAGGCCAGUGUCAUCUGUCACAAGCCUUAUAUGGGCCUAUUCUCAUGCAAGUCUAGUAUUUCAAUGUCAGAACACUGAUUGGUUGGCUUACAAGAGUACUCUACUGCCUUUCCAAAUGUAGG